rnacentral:rRNA from 1 species
UAGGGAAUAUUGGACAAUGGGCGCAAGCCUGAUCCAGCCAUGCCGCGUGAGUGAAGAAGGCCCUCGGGUUGUAAAGCUCUUUUGUCCGGAAAGAAAAGCAUCGGGUUAAUACCCCGGUGUUCUGACGGUACCGGAAGAAUAAGCACCGGCUAACUUCGUGCCAGCAGCCGCGGUAAUACGAAGGGUGCAAGCGUUACUCGGAAUUACUGGGCGUAAAGCGUGCGUAGGUGGUUCGUUAAGUCUGAUGUGAAAGCCCUGGGCUCAACCUGGGAAUGGCAUUGGAAACUGGCGGACUGGAGUGCGGUAGAGGGUAGCGGAAUUCCCGGUGUAGCGGUGGAAUGCGCAGAUAUCAGGAGGAACACCGAUGGCGAAGGCAGAUCUCUGGGCCGUAACUGACGCUGAGGAGCGAAAGCAUGGGGAGCGAACA